rnacentral:rRNA from 1 species
UACGAAGGGGGCUAGCGUUGCUCGGAAUCACUGGGCGUAAAGGGUGCGUAGGCGGGUCUUUUAAGUCAGGGGUGAAAUCCUGGAGCUCAACUCCAGAACUGCCUUUGAUACUGAAGAUCUUGAGUCCGGGAGAGGUGAGUGGAACUGCGAGUGUAGAGGUGAAAUUCGUAGAUAUUCGCAAGAACACCAGUGGCGAAGGCGGCUCACUGGCCCGGGUACUGACGCUGAGGCACGAAAGCGUGGGGAGCAAACA